GGUCAAGUUACAAAGGGCGUAUGGUGGAUGCCUAGGCACUUAGAGCCGAAGAAGGACGCAGCCAGCGGCGAAACGCUCCGGGGAGUCGCAAGCAGGCGUAGAUCCGGAGAUCUCCGAAUGGGGAAACCCGCUUAAGGUAAUACUUAAGCAUCCCAUGGUGAACACAUAGCCAUGAGGAGGGGAAACCGCGUGAACUGAAACAUCUAAGUAGCGCGAGGAGAAGAAAGAAAAAGUCGAUUUCCUGAGUAGCGGCGAGCGAAAAGGAAGAAGCCCAAACCAUCACCAUAGGUGAUGGGGUUUAGGACCACAGAAAAGGUAUGAAAAGCGAAGCCGAACAGACCUGGGAAGGCAGGCCAAAGAAGGUGAAAGCCCUGUAGGCGUAAGCGAAGCAUACCGAGUGGGAUCCAGAGUACCACAGGAUAGGCAACCCGGUGGGAAGACGGGAGGACCAUCUCCCAAGGCUAAAUACUCCUAAGUGACCGAUAGCGCAAAGUACCGUGAGGGAAAGGUGAAAAGAACCCCGGGAGGGGAGUGAAAGAGAACCUGAAACCAUAUGUCCACAAGCAGUGGAAGCGAAAGACCACCCAGUGCGAGUUUCUCGCACCGGGGACCCGGUAACGCGACCACGUACUUUUUGUAGAACGGACCGGCGAGUUAUAGAUAUGCAGCGAGGUUAAGCGAAAGCGGAGCCGAAGCGAAAGCGAGUCUUAAAAGGGCGGAAGUUGCAUAUCAUAGACCCGAAACCGUGCGACCUACCCAUGAUCAGGGUGAAGCCGGAGUAAGAUCUGGUGGAGGCCCGAACCACGUUGACGUUGAAAAGUCAUGGGAUGAAUUGUGGGUAGCGGAGAAAUUCCAAUCGAGCUCGGAGAUAGCUGGUUCUCCCCGAAAUAGCUUUAGGGCUAGCCUCAGGGGGUGAAAAUAUGGAGGUAGAGCACUGAAUGGACUAGGGGCCAAAAAGGUUACCGAACCCUAUCAAACUCCGAAUGCCAUAUUGAGAACCCUGGGAGUCAGACUACGAGUGAUAAGAUCCGUAGUCAAAAGGGAAACAGCCCAGACCGACAGCUAAGGUCCCAAAGAGCAUGUUAAGUGGGAAAGGAAGUAGGAUUUCCAAGACAACCAGGAUGUUGGCUUAGAAGCAGCCAUACAUUCAAAGAGUGCGUAAUAGCUCACUGGUCGAGAAAUCCCGCGCCGAAAAUAAACGGGGCUAAAACAUGCCACCGAAGCUACGGAUUCGAAAAGAAUGGUAGGGGAGCGUACUGUACAGGGAGAAGGAUAAGCGAAAGCGAAUCUGGACAGUACAGUAGAGAGAAUGCCGGUAUAAGUAACGAGAGUAAGGCGAGAAACCUUACCGUCGAAAGCCUAAGGGUUCCUGGGGAAGGAUAAUCCGCCCAGGGUAAGUCGGGACCUAAGCGAGGCGAGGCGAGAGCGUAGGCGAUGGAUAACCGGUAAUAAAUCCGGUACCACCGAAAUCCGUUAAAAGAGAAGCAAGGACGCAGCGAGAUAAGAAAAGCGUGCGGUUGGUAGAGCACGUCCAAGCAGCGACGAAAAGAGCUUUGAGUGAAGUACCAAAGCUCAUAAGAGCUGUGACGGGGAGCCGAAGAGGCGAAGUUUCGAAGGGGCUGCCAAGAAAAGUUGCUAUCGAGGAUGAGGUGCCCGUACCCGAAACCGACACAGGUAGGCGAGGAGAGAAUCCAAAGACGAGCGGGAGAACCCUCAUUAAGGAACUCGGCAAAAAGACUCCGUAACUUCGGGAGAAGGAGUGCCGAAAGGCCGCAGAGAAGAGGCCCAAGCGACUGUUUACCAAAAACACAGGUUUCUGCUAAGUCGAAAGACGAAGUAUAGGAGCUGACGCCUGCCCGGUGCUGGAAGGUUAAGGGGAAGUGUUAGGAGAAAAUCUGAAGCACAGAACUUAAGCCCCAGUAAACGGCGGCCGUAACUAUAACGGUCCUAAGGUAGCGAAAUUCCUUGUCGGGUAAGUUCCGACCUGCACGAAAGGCGUAACGACUUGGGCGCUGUCUAGAUGGGGGACCCGGUGAAAUUGUAGUACUCGUGAAGAUGCGAGUUACCCGCGACAGGACAGAAAGACCCAUGGAGCUUUACUGCAGCUUGUCACUGAAUUUUAGUAAUAUCUGUACAGGAUAGGUGGGAGGCAGAGAAAUAUGGGCGCCAGCCUAUAUGGAGCCGAUGUUGGGAUACCACCCUGAUAUUACCGAAAUUCUAACAUAGGAGCCGUAAGCCGGCAUAUGGACACUGACAGGCGGGCAGUUUGACUGGGGCGGUCGCCUCCCAAAAAGUAACGGAGGCGUCCAAAGGUUACCUCAGCGCGGAAGGAAAUCGCGCGAAAGAGUACAAAGGCAUAAGGUAGCCUAACUGCGAGAAAGACAAUUCGAGCAGGGACGAAAGUCGGGCUUAGUGAUCCGGCGGUAGAGAAUGGGAUUGCCGUCGCUCAACGGAUAAAAGCUACCCUGGGGAUAACAGGCUGAUCUCCCCCAAGAGUCCACAUCGACGGGGAGGUUUGGCACCUCGAUGUCGGCUCAUCGCAUCCUGGGGCUGAAGUAGGUCCCAAGGGUUGGGCUGUUCGCCCAUUAAAGCGGUACGCGAGCUGGGUUCAGAACGUCGUGAGACAGUUCGGUCCCUAUCCGUCGCGGGCGUAGGAAAUUUGAGAGGAACUGCCCUUAGUACGAGAGGACCGGGGUGGACAAACCGAUGGUGUACCAGUUGCGAAGCCAUUCGCACAGCUGGGUAGCCAAGUUUGGAAGGGAUAAACGCUGAAAGCAUCUAAGCGUGAAACCCACCUCAAGAAAAGAUUUCCCAUCCGAAAGGGGUAAGACACCUUGGAGAAGACGAGGUAGAUAGGCCGGAGGUGUAAGAGUAGAAAUACUUUGAGCUGACCGGUACUAAUAAGUCGAGGACUUGACCUU
rnacentral:rRNA from 1 species